CGAGUGGGCGGGACGGGGUGGAGUAAUGUCUGGGAAACUGCCCGAUGGAGGGGGAUAACUACUGGAAACGGUAGCUAAUACCGCAUAACGUCGCAAGACCAAAGAGGGGGGACUUCGGGCCUCCUGCCAUCGGAUGUGCCCAGAUGGGAUUAGCUAGUAGGUGGGGUAACGGCUCACCUAGGCGACGAUCCCUAGCUGGUCUGAGAGGAUGACCAGCCACACUGGAACUGAGACACGGUCCAG
rnacentral:rRNA from 1 species